CCUACGGGAGGCAGCAGUAGGGAAUUUUCGUCAAUGGGCGCAAGCCUGAACGAGCAAUGCCGCGUGAACGAGGAAGGUCUUCGGAUCGUAAAGUUCUGUUGAAGUGGAAAAAGAGCGGAGAGAGGAAAUGGUCUCCGAUUGAUAUUACUCUUCGAGGACGUCAAGGCAAACUACGUGCCGGCAGCCGCGGUAAUACGUCGGUGGCGAGGGUUAUCCGGAUUGGUUGGGAGUAAAGGGUGGGUAGGCGUCCUGCAAAGUGUGGAGUGAAAGGUACCGGCUCAACCUGUACAGGCUCUUGAAACUGGCGGGCUAGAGAGCAGGAGAGGUCGGUGGAACUCGAGGUGUAGCGGUAAAAUGCGUAGAUAUAUGGAAGAACACCAGUGGCGAAGGCGGCCGCCUGGCCUGUUACUGACGCUGAGGCACGAAAGCGUGGGGAGCAAAUAGGAUUAGAUACCCCGGUAGUC
rnacentral:rRNA from 1 species